rnacentral:tRNA from 2 species
GGUAAAAUGACUGAUGAUAGGUGAUAAAUUGUAAAUUUAUUUAUGGGAUAAAAUAUCUCUUUUACCA